UAUCGUGAAGCCGUGUAAAAAUGGCAUAAAAAAAUGCGAAUGGAUGGCAGUCUUUCGAAAAAACGCCAACAGUAUUUGGAGCAGUUGGAACACGAAUGGCAAGCGGAGCAGCACCAACCGAAUCUUCCGGAUCCAAGCGGAGUAACGGCAGGACAGGAGCCGAAUCUCAACAUGAAUGUUGAUGAAUCUAACGCUGGAGCAGAGCUAUGUGCGUCUGACGGCGAUGGUGGCUAUGGUGACAUGGAACGGGAAGCCGAAUUCGAUUUACAGGAGGAAAAUGAUUGGCAGGAAGACGAGGAAGAUGUGUACAUGGAAAGAGACACAAACUACCAGUUUUUUGACAACAUAUCGCUGCAGGAAGGACUUCGUUAUGUUGCCGUAACGAAAAAUCUGUCCCGAUCUACGGUCAACAUGAUUCUGGGUCUGUUGCGAAGAAAGCUGAAGCUCUGCCUUCCUGCUGACGCUCGAACCCUCUUAAAAACGUCCACCAAAGUCUGGAUGGAAAUCCAACCAAUCUUGGGUGGGCAGUUUUGGUAUCAGGGAAUAGAGACCGUGAUAAGAGAACAUUUUGGGGAGAUCAUCCCGCAUGUUGAUCUUUUUUCUUUGCAGGUUUUCAUCGAUGGAUUACCCCUUUACAAGAGUUCCGCAAGGCAGUUAUGGCCGAUUCUAUUUAAGGUAGAGGAACUACCAGAUGCACCGGUGAUGCUUGCCGGUGUAUUUUGUGGAUUCCCAAACCGGAUCACGUGGAAGGAUUUUUGCGGCCUCUCGUUGAUGAAGUAAACAAGCUUCAAUCAAGCGGCUUGCGGUUCGGCGACAAGACGGUGGGCGUUAAACUUCACAUAUUUAUCGCUGAUUUACCCGCCCGCUGCAUUGCCAAAGCUACCAUAAGCUACGUUGGCAAACACAGCUGUCAUAAAUGUACAUGCGUGGGAGUACACGAAGGGAAAAAAGUCAUUUUUGAUGAUGUGGAUGCUGAAUUGCGGACUGAGGAAAGCUUUGAAGGCAGGACGGAUAAGGAACAUCACAAAAGUUGGAAGUCACCUUUGGAAUAUGUGGUGGGUUUUAACAUUGUAGAUCAUAUAAUCAUAGCAGAACGCAUGCAUCAAUCAGAUUUGGGCAUUUAAAAAAAAUAGCUAUAGGAUUUCUUGAGCACAAAUUUCCCAAAUUCCCCAAAUGGACAGAGGCACACAUAGAAACAGUUUCAAAUUUUUUAAUAGCAACACAGCUUCCAGUAGAGUUCAAUAGGAGAUUGCGGUACGUUAAAUUUAUGAAAUUUUGGAAGGCGACAGAGUUCCGUACAUUUUUACAUUACGUUAGUAUUAUUGUGUAUAGAGAUUUUAUGUGGGAGGAGGCAUUUAGUCAUUAUUUGCUUUAUUUUUGUUCUAUGACUAUAUUUUCCUCUAAUCAUCACAAACCUCUUUGGCCGCUUGCCAAAAGAUUAAUGUAUAUUUACGUAAAUAAAUUUGCAGAUUUUUAUGGUAGAACUAAUUUAACUACUAAUGUACAUGGCCUUAUACAUAUUUAUAAUGAUGUAGAUAAUUUUGGAGCGGUAGAUGAUAUAUCCGCAUAUGAUUUAGAAAAUCAUUUACAGAUUUUAAAAGGUAGUUGUAAGUCAGGCAACAGAUGUACGGAACACGUUAUAACAAUAUGCAAGGAAUUUCAACAUAUAAAAAGAGCUAAAAGGAUUCCCGCUCCAACUUAUCCGCAGUUGAUGCCUAAUGGUUUUGGUUUGCAAGUUAGAGCCGACUUUAGCCUAAAAGCCAAUUUUAGAAACCAAUGGUUUCUUAGUGACACAAAUUAUAUUUGCCAGUUUGUGGAAGCUAAGGAGACACAUUCUUCUUUUGUUGUCGUUGGUAUGCAGUAUGAGUCUAAAGAGGAGAAGUUCAAGCUUUCUGCAAAGGACCAUAUUUCAGAAAUAGAUUUAUCGUCCACUAGUUUACACAUUUACAAAGUAAAAAAUAACACUCCUCGCCAACGGGUAGAACUACCGCAUCAAAACAUAAAAUGUAAAUUAGUGGCCAUACAUUUACCAUCCCAAUCCCUUUUCAGCAACUCUAUUCUAACCACCAUUCCAUCCGAUACAAUAGGAUUUUUUCCUCUCUUCCACACUUUUCCAAAAGCAUAGUUGUAUUUAUUUAUAAUAAUAUGAUUUUAGUUUUAUUUUAGAGAAGGUAUUUGGCUCCUAAUUUUCUGU